CAUGUGCAGUCCUUCACGUGUGCCCUUUGUAAUAUUCUGCACUUGGGGUUUAUAAGGACUGCAAAGAGAAAAAAAAGGAAGCUUAGGCGUGACUGCAGAAGCAGCAGCUCCACGUGCGAUGUUUCUUUGACACUCCCAUCCUGUUUCCACGGUGAUGACAGAUUCACCGGUUUUGUCAUCCAUCAGGUAACAGGUAAUAAAGCUUCUGCACUGUGAUAAUUUUUAAUGUUUCACCAAACACUUAAAACUGCCACACUU